AACGAACGCUGGCGGCAUGCCUAACACAUGCAAGUCGAACGAGACCUUCGGGUCUAGUGGCGCACGGGUGCGUAACGCGUGGGAACCUGCCCUUAGGUUCGGAAUAACUCCCCGAAAGGGGUGCUAAUACCGGAUAAUGUCUUCGGACCAAAGAUUUAUCGCCUUUGGAUGGGCCCGCGUUGGAUUAGCUAGUUGGUAGGGUAAAAGCCUACCAAGGCGACGAUCCAUAGCUGGUCUGAGAGGAUGAUCAGCCACACUGGGACUGAGACACGGCCCAGACGAGUACGACAGACAGCAGUGAGGAAUAGGGACCAAGGCACGAAAGCGUGAUCCAGCAAGUGGGAGUGAGUAAAGAAUGUGUUAGGGUGGAGACUCUCUUUACCGCGUGAAAAUAAGGACGGGAUGGGUAGAAAAAUCUCCGGCCAAGUCCUGACAGAAAGCUGCAGUAAUAAUAAGGCCAGCACAGGGCCGACA
rnacentral:rRNA from 1 species